CCUACGGGGGGCAGCAGUGAGGAAUAUUGGUCAAUGGCCGGAAGGCUGAACCAGCCAUGCCGCGUGAAGGUCAGUGCCCUAUGGGCGUUAAACUUCUUUUGUGUGGGAGCAAUAAUGGUCACGUGUGGCCAGACGAGAGUACCGUACGAAUAAGCAUCGGCUAACUCCGUGCCAGCAGCCGCGGUAAUACGGGGGAUGCAAGCGUUAUCCGGAUUUAUUGGGUUUAAAGGGUGCGUAGGCUGGGAGGUAAGUUAACGGUGAAAUGCUCCCGCUCAACGGGGUGAAUUGCCAUUGAUACUGGCUGGCUGGAAUGCAGAUGCCGUGGGAGGAAUGUGUGGUGUAGCGGUGAAAUGCAUAGAUAUCACACAGAACACCGAUUGCGAAGGCAUCUCACGAAUCCGCGAUUGACGCUGAUGCACGAAAGCGUGGGUAUCAAACAGGAUUAGAUACCCUAGUAGUC
rnacentral:rRNA from 1 species